GCGGUCGUGGCGAAGUGGUUAACGCACCGGAUUGUGGCUCCGGCACUCGUGGGUUCGAUUCCCAUCGAUCGCCC
rnacentral:tRNA from 1 species